UUUUUAGACUUACUCUAAAAAUUACUUUUAGAAAGUUUCUUUAUAUUAGUUAUGAGGAAAAAGUUUGAUAUAUUUAGUAACCAUAAAUGAAAUUUAGGUUAUUGUUAAAUGAGAGUACUGUGAAGGAAAUAAGAAAUAUAUUUUAGUAUAGUUUUAUUCUAGUACCUUUUGUAUCAUGGUUUAACGAGAUUAAAAUAAUAUAAAAUUGAUUUCUAGAAAAAAAGAGAGCUAUAUUUAAGCUAAAUUUAAUGUGGCAAAAUUAUAAUAAGACUUAAUUAUAGUAGUGAAAUGCUAACGAUUUUUUUGAUAGCUAGUUGGAAGAUAGAUGCAUAUAAGUGCUAUUUAUAAGAAUUAAACUGACUUAUUAUAUUUAAGUUAUUUUAUAUUAUAAAGGGAGGCUUUUCAGGUUAAGCUGAUUAGCAGGAGGAAAACUGGAAUUAUAAGUAUAAUACUUAAAUUAUGUAGGCUUAACAGUUGCUAACAUACUUAUGGUUUUAUAACAAAGCUUUAUAAAUAAAUUCAAAGUAUCAAUGUUUCUUUAUCUAUUUUCUUAAUUUUAUAAAUCAUUAAUUAAUAUACGUUUAUGUUAAAAUGAGUAUUUUUUUUGUUUUUAUUUUUAAGAUAAAUUCUAAUAUUAAUAGUAAAAUUUUAUUAAUUAAAUUAAUAUAAAUGUAAUAAAGGAACUCGGCAAAAUUUAAAUUUCGCCUGUUUAACAAAAACAUCGCUCUUUGUUAUUAAAUAUAUAGGGAGUCGUACCUGCCCAGUGAAAAAUUUUAAACGGCCGCAGUACCCUGACUGUGCUAAGGUAGCAUAAUCAUUUGCCUUUUAAUUGAAGGCUAGAAUGAAUGGUUUGACGAAAAUUUGACUGUCUCUAUUAUACUAUCUAAAAAUUAUUUUUUAGGUGAAGAAACCUAAAUUUAAUUAAAAGACGAAAAGACCCUGUCGAGCUUAAAAAUUUAUGAUAAAUUGUCUAACUAUGUAGCAUAGAGUUUUUUAUUAUAAGUUUUUUUGUUGGGGUGACAGAAGAACAUUUUUAGCUUCUUUUUAUUAUUAAAACUAAUAAGUUUUUUAGAUCUACAUAUAAUUGUAAAUUAAGAUAAGUUACCGCAGGGAUAACAGCGUUAUUUUUCUGAAAAGUUCAAAUUGAAGGAAAAGUUUGCGACCUCGAUGUUGGAUUAGAAUACCGGGUAGGGGCAGAAGCUUAUUUUCGGAGGUCUGUUCGACCUUUAAAUUUCUACAUGAUCUGAGUUCAAACCGGCGUGAGCCAGGUUGGUUUCUAUCUUUAAUUAAAUUAAAUAAAUUAAAUUUAGUACGAAAGGACCAAUUUAAGUAAUUAAAAAUUAUGAUUAUUAAUA
rnacentral:rRNA from 1 species